rnacentral:rRNA from 1 species
AACGCGAAGAACCUUACCUGGCCUUGACAUGUCCGGAAUCCUGCAGAGAUGCGGGAGUGCCUUCGGGAAUCGGAACACAGGUGCUGCAUGGCUGUCGUCAGCUCGUGUCGUGAGAUGUUGGGUUAAGUCCCGCAACGAGCGCAACCCUUGUCCUUAGUUGCCAGCGAGUAAUGUCGGGAACUCUAAGGAGACUGCCGGUGACAAACCGGAGGAAGGUGGGGAUGACGUCAAGUCCUCAUGGCCCUUACGGCCAGGGCUACACACGUACUACAAUGGUCGGUACAGAGGGUUGCGAAGCCGCGAGGUGGAGCCAAUCCCAGAAAGCCGAUCCCAGUCCGGAUCGAAGUCUGCAACUCGACUUCGUGAAGUCGGAAUCGCUAGUAAUCGCGGAUCAGCUAUGCCGCGGUGAAUACGUUCCCGGGUCUUGUACACACCG